UAUUACAGAUGGCACCCAAACAUAGGAACU
rnacentral:piRNA from 1 species